rnacentral:rRNA from 1 species
AGUGAGUAUGAGAAGGGCAUUCGGUGGAUGCCUUGGCACUAGGAGGCGACGAAGGACGUAGCACGCUGCGAUAAGCUGUGGGGAGCCGCGAGCAGGCAUUGAUCCGCAGAUUUCCGAAUGGGGCAACCCACCCAGCGAUGGGUAUCGUGAUCUGAAUACAUAGGGUUACGAGGCGAACCCGGGGAACUGAAACAUCUCAGUACCUGGAGGAAAAGACAUCAAUUGAGAUUCUGCUAGUAGUGGCGAGCGAACGCGGAACAGGCCAGUCAUUUUUGAAGAAGAAGCAGAACAGUCUGGAAAGGCUGACCAUAGUGGGUGACAGUCCCGUAUGUGUAGUGUCUUUAAGAAUGCUUGAGUAGGGCGGGGCACGUGAAACCCUGUCUGAACAUGGGGGGACCACCCUCCAAGCCUAAAUACUCCCUAGUGACCGAUAGCGAACAAGUACCGUGAGGGAAAGGUGAAAAGCACCCCGACGAGGGGAGUGAAAGAGACCUGAAACCGGAUGCCUACAAGCAGUCGGAGCCUCUUAUGGGGUGACGGCGUACCUUUUGUAUAAUGGGUCAGCGAGUUUCUGUUUG